CAGCUAGUUGGAGGGGUAAUGGCCCACCAAGGCGACGAUCGGUAGCUGGUCUGAGAGGACGAUCAGCCACACUGGAACUGAGACACGGUCCAGACUCCUACGGGAGGCAGCAGUGGGGAAUUUUCCGCAAUGGGCGCAAGCCUGACGGAGCAACGCCGCGUGGAUGAUGAAGUCUUUCGGGACGUAAAAUCCUUUCAGCAGGGACGAAGCGAGUGACGGUACCUGCAGAAGAAGCAUCGGCUAACUACGUGCCAGCAGCCGCGGUAAUACGUAGGAUGCGAGCGUUGUCCGGAAUUAUUGGGCGUAAAGCGAACGUAGGCGGUUUCUUAAGAUUGGUCUUAAAGACCGGGGCUCAACCCCGGGAAUGGACCGAUAACUGGGAGACUGGAGGACGUCAAAGGAAAGUGGAAUUCC
rnacentral:rRNA from 1 species